rnacentral:rRNA from 1 species
UACGUAGGGUGCGAGCGUUGUCCGGAAUUACUGGGCGUAAAGAGCUCGUAUGUGGUUUGUCACGUCGUCUGUGAAAUUCCGGGGCUUAACCUCGGGCGUGCAGGCGAUACGGGCAAUACUUGAGUGCUGUAGGGGAGACUGGAAUUCCUGGUGUAGCGGUGAAAUGCGCAGAUACCAGGAGGAACACCAAUGGCGAAGGCAGGUCUCUGGGCAGUUACUGACGCUGAGGAGCGAAAGCAUGGGUAGCGAACAGGAUUAGA